rnacentral:rRNA from 1 species
UGCCCUAGUAACGGCGAGUGAAGCGGCAACAGCUCAAAUUUGAAAUCUGGCCCUCGGGUCCGAGUUGUAAUUUGUAGAGGAUGCUUUUGGUGAGGUACCUUCCGAGUUCCCUGGAACGGGACGCCAUAGAGGGUGAGAGCCCCGUCUGGUUGGAUACCGAUCCUCUGUAAAGCUCCUUCGACGAGUCGAGUAGUUUGGGAAUGCUGCUCUAAAUGGGAGGUAUAUGUCUUCUAAAGCUAAAUAUUGGCCAGAGACCGAUAGCGCACAAGUAGAGUGAUCGAAAGAUGAAAAGCACUUUGAAAAGAGAGUUAAAAAGUACGUGAAAUUGUUGAAAGGGAAGCGCUUAUGACCAGACUUGGACUUGGUUGAUCAUCCUGGGUUCUCCCUGGUGCACUCUUCCAGUUCAGGCCAGCAUCAGUUCGCUGCGGGGGAUAAAAGUUUUGGGAAUGUGGCUCCCUCGGGAGUGUUAUAGCCCAUUGCAUAAUACCCUGCUCCGGACUGAGGUUCGCGCAUCUGCAAGGAUGCUGGCGUAAUGGUCAUCAGCGACCCGUCUUGAAACACGGACCAAGGAGUCGUCUUCGUAUGCGAGUGUUCGGGUGUUAAACCCCUACGCGUAAUGAAAGUGAACGCAGGUGAGAGCUUCGGCGCAUCAUCGACCGAUCCUGAUGUUCUCGGAUGGAUUUGAGUAAGAGCAUACGGGGCCGGACCCGAAAGAAGGUGAACUAUGCCUGUAUAGGGUGAAGCCAGAGGAAACUCUGGUGGAGGCUCGCAGCGGUUCUGA